UACAGAGGGUGCGAGCGUUAAUCGGAAUUACUGGGCGUAAAGCGUGCGUAGGCGGCUAUCUAAGUCGGGUGUGAAAGCCCCGGGCUCAACCUGGGAAUUGCAUUCGAGACUGAAUAGCUAGGGUACGGUAGAGGGAAGCGGAAUUUCCGGUGUAGCGGUGAAAUGCGUAGAUAUCGGAAGGAACAUCAGUGGCGAAAGCGGCUUCCUGGACCAGUACCGACGUUCAGGCACGAAAGCGUGGGGAGCAAACAGG
rnacentral:rRNA from 1 species